rnacentral:rRNA from 1 species
CGGAUUGUAGGCUGCAACCCGCCUACAUGAAGUUGGAAUUGCUAGUAAUCGCAGAUCAGAAUGCUGCGGUGAAUACGUUCCCGGGCCUUGUACACACCGCCCGUCACACCAUGGGAGCCGGUAAUACCCGAAGUCAGUAGUCUAACCGCGAAGGGGGACGCUGCCGAAGGUAGGAUUGGCGACUGGGGUGAAGUCGUAACAAGGUACC